GUGGGUUUGAAUGUGCUGUCACUUCGGGCCUCCACAAGUGUUCUGUGGGACAAAUGAAAUGAGAAUAAUGAAUUAAAUACGAACACCCAACAAACAGGUUAACAUUCAUUUCUCAAGGAAACUUACUCUAAUUUUCCCUGUAAUUCACUGCAUAUGCUAACCACAUACAUUUUACUACACAGUCCAUGCAUUUACCUUCAUCCUGGACUGAUGGUUUUCCAGACUGCUCUGCCAUAGAAGUUGGGCUUCUCUCAACCUCUUUCUCUGCCAGUGUAUUCUCUACGUCACUGUGCUCUCCAUGGCUCAGUUCUCUAUCAAUGCUCUCCUCUAACUCACUCUCAAGGUCCUGCCGCUUUUCAUCUGUCUGGAUCUUGCAUUCAUUCUCAUGUUCAGAGUCGAUCCAGUCCUCAUCAUCUGAGAAUUUCACUUCUAAAUUCACUGCUUCUGUCCAGAUGUCUGUUAGCUGUUCGUCUGUCACUCUGUUCCUCUUUUCUAAUUCCAGAACUCUCAUUCUCUCCUCCUCCAGACUCCUUAACAGAUUAUCUUCAUUGAUUGCAUCCAUCAUCUUUUUUUCUUCCUCCAUUCUCUCUCUGUUCAUCUCCAACCUCACUGCCUCUUCCUUUCUUUCAUCCUCCACCCUUCUUUUCUCUUCCUCGCUCUUCAUUUGCUCCUCCAUUAUGAUCACCUCUCCCUUUCUUAUUUCCUCUUCCACCCAUUUCUUUUCUUGCUCCUCCAUCUUCUUUCUCUCUUCUUCUAGUCUAUUUUUACCUUUGUCCUUCUCAUUUCUCUCUUUCAGUGUUUGUUGGCCAACUGUAAUCUUCUGGAAGCAUGCAGAGUUGGUCUUAGUGUCCUUAAGGGAAAUAUCAUCAUCCUCAAUUUUUGGGUCACUAAAAAUAGAUUCAGUCACAGUAAUGUCCUGUUGGUACUCAGCCACAUCAUUUUGGAUCAGCUCUUUAGUCUCAACCUGUGUUUGUUGCUCCUGUGGCUUCACCAAGGGAGGAAACUUUGAGAGGAAAGUAUGCAGAGUUGGUCUUAGAGUCCUUCAGGGUGACACUGUCUUCAUUUUUGGAGUCCCUCAAAACAGAUUUGGUCACAGUAAUGUCCUGGUGGUCUUUACACACAUCAUUGUGGAUCUCCUCUUUAAUCUCCGCCUCCUUGACGUCUGUCCAGUCUACAACUUCCUUAGAAGAGGGCUUUAUCUGUACUUGGUCUUUCAGAAACUCCUUUUCCACAGUCUGAUUACCUGCUUUCCCCGUCUCCAAUACCUUACUUUCACCUUCUGUCUUAUCAUCUGCAUGUCCCAUGUCUUUAACAUUACUUUCCUCCUCCAACCAGUUUUGGUCUUCGCUCACUGGUUUCUCAUCCUCUCUGUUUGUUUUCUUUUGAGCUCUCUCUUGUUCCACAUCUUCUGUGCUUUUUCUGUCAU
rnacentral:lncRNA from 1 species